AGAGUUUGAUCCUGGCUCAGGAUGAACGCUAGCGACAGGCUUAACACAUGCAAGUCGAGGGGCAGCGGGGGAGUGGCAAUACUCCCGCCGGCGACCGGCGCACGGGUGAGUAACACGUAUGGAACCUGCCCGCAGCAGGGGGAUAAGCGGAAGAAAUUCCGUCUAAUACCGCGUAACAAUUCCCGGAGGCAUCUCCGGGAAUUUAAAGGAGGCAACUCCGGCUGCGGAUGGCCAUGCGGCGCAUUAGCUUGUUGGCGGGGUAACGGCCCACCAAGGCGACGAUGCGUAGGGGUUCUGAGAGGAAGGUCCCCCACACUGGUACUGAGACACGGACCAGACUCCUACGGGAGGCAGCAGUGAGGAAUAUUGGUCAAUGGCCGAGAGGCUGAACCAGCCAAGUCGCGUGAGGGAUGACGGUCCUAUGGAUUGUAAACCUCUUUUGUCGGGGAGCAAAGGACGCCACGCGUGGUGUUUUGCGAGUACCCGAAGAAAAAGCAUCGGCUAACUCCGUGCCAGCAGCCGCGGUAAUACGGAGGAUGCGAGCGUUAUCCGGAUUUAUUGGGUUUAAAGGGUGCGCAGGCGGAAUGUCAAGUCAGCGGUAAAAUUUCGGGGCUCAACCCCGUCGUGCCGUUGAAACUGGCGUUCUUGAGUGAGCGAGAAGUAUGCGGAAUGCGUGGUGUAGCGGUGAAAUGCAUAGAUAUCACGCAGAACUCCGAUUGCGAAGGCAGCAUACCGGCGCUCAACUGACGCUCAUGCACGAAAGCGUGGGUAUCGAACAGGAUUAGAUACCCUGGUAGUCCACGCAGUAAACGAUGA
rnacentral:rRNA from 1 species